GCACCCAGACCCAAGCGUGCCACGGCGUCAGCCCUGGGGACAGAGUCUCCGCGCUUCUUAGACAGACCUGACUUCUUCGAUUAUCCGGACUCAGACCAAGCCAGGCUGCUGGCUGUGGCCCAGUUUAUUGGAGAGAAACCCAUCGUGUUCAUUAACUCAGGUUCCAGCCCCGGGCUCUUCCAUCACAUCCUGGUGGGCUUGCUGGUGGUGGCGUUCUUCUUUCUCCUUUUCCAGUUCUGCACCCACAUUAUAGUCGGGGGAAAAGAAAAGACCAGAAGAUGCCCACAGACCAAAAGGCACAGAUACAGUGCCAAAAUAAGCCCAGGACAGGCAGCCAAGCGUUAAGGGGAAAAUGCAGAGCAAAAGGAGCCAAGGACAAAGAAAGUUCCAUGUACUUGGAGAGUAAACAAAAACGAGAAAUGGAUGAAUAGACAAGACAGCAUUUUUCUUCUGGAGUCAGCA
rnacentral:lncRNA from 1 species